rnacentral:rRNA from 1 species
AGAGUUUGAUCCUGGCUCAGGAUGAACGCUAGCGACAGGCUUAACACAUGCAAGUCGAGGGGCAGCAUAAGAUGUAGCAAUACAUUUUGAUGGCGACCGGCGCACGGGUGAGUAACGCGUAUGCAACCUACCCGCAACAGAGGGAUAACCCGGCGAAAGUCGGACUAAUACCUCAUAAAACAGGGGUUUCGCAUGGAACUAUUUGUUAAAGAUUUAUCGGUUGCGGAUGGGCCUGCGUGCCAUUAGGUAGUUGGUGAGGUAACGGCUCACCAAGCCAUCGAUGGUUAGGGGUUCUGAGAGGAAGGUCCCCCACACUGGUACUGAGACACGGACCAGACUCCUACGGGAGGCAGCAGUGAGGAAUAUUGGUCAAUGGGCGCGAGCCUGAACCAGCCAAGUCGCGUGAAGGAUGACUGCCCUAUGGGUUGUAAACUUCUUUUACAGGGGAAUAAAAAGAGUUACGUGUAACUUAUUGCAUGUACCCUGUGAAUAAGCAUCGGCUAACUCCGUGCCAGCAGCCGCGGUAAUACGGAGGAUGCGAGCGUUAUCCGGAUUUAUUGGGUUUAAAGGGUGCGUAGGUGGCUUGAUAAGUCAGUGGUGAAAGUUUGUCGCUUAACGAUAAAAUUGCCAUUGAAACUGUCAGGCUUGAGUGUAAAUGAAGUAGGCGGAAUGCGUGGUGUAGCGGUGAAAUGCAUAGAGAUCACGCAGAACUCCGAUUGCGAAGGCAGCUUACUAAGCUACAACUGACACUGAAGCGGAGUACGCCGGCAACGGUGAAACUCAAAGGAAUUGACGGGGGCCCGCACAAGCGGAGGAACAUGUGGUUUAAUUCGAUGAUACGCGAGGAACCUUACCCGGGAUUGAAAUGUACCUGACUUACUGUGAGAGCAGUAAUCCAGCAAUGGCAGGUAUGUAGGUGCUGCAUGGUUGUCGUCAGCUCGUGCCGUGAGGUGUCGGCUUAAGUGCCAUAACGAGCGCAACCCUGACUGUCAGUUGCUAGCAAGUAAAGUUGAGGACUCUGGCGGGACUGCCGGCGUAAGCUGUGAGGAAGGUUGGGAUGACGUCAAAUCAGCACGGCCCUUACAUCCGGGGCGACACACGUCGACUCCGUGAAGCUGGAUUCGCUAGUAAUCGCGCAUCAGCCAUGGCGCGGUGAAUACGUUCCCGGGCCUUGUACACACCGCCCGUCAAGCCAUGGGAGCCGGGGGUACCUGAAGUCCGUAACCGCGAGGAUCGGCCUAGGGUAAAACUGGUGACUGGGGCUAAGUCGUAACAAGGUAGCCGUACCGGAAGGUGCGGCUG